rnacentral:rRNA from 1 species
UGCCAGCCGCCGCGGUAAUACGUAGGGGGCAAGCGUUGUCCGGAAUCAUUGGGCGUAAAGAGCGUGUAGGCGGCCUGAUAAGUCGGCUGUGAAAGUCAAGGGCUCAACCCUUGAAUGCCGGCCGAUACUGUCAGGCUAGAGUCCGGAAGAGGCGAGUGGAAUUCCUGGUGUAGCGGUGAAAUGCGCAGAUAUCAGGAGGAACACCUAUGGCGAAGGCAGCUCGCUGGGACGGUACUGACGCUGAGACGCGAAAGCGUGGGGAGCGAACAGGAUUAGAUA